ACGUAUGCAUUGAAGAGAAGAGUAAUUAAUCACGAAACGAUUAAAGAGACCCUCGGCUGGUGAAAAGAGGGAUCGUGGAAAGUUAAUGAAGAUGAGCUCUGAGCAUUCAGUUUGUUCACGCAAAUUGAACGGAAAGCGACCGUUACUUCGCCGGGUAUGUAAGUACCGUUGAGGUAUUAUCUGAAAGGAUAAUACGAAUAAGGGUGGUAACGCGAAAAUAUUCGUCCCUUUA
rnacentral:ncRNA from 1 species